rnacentral:rRNA from 1 species
CAGCAGCCGCGGUAAUACGGAGGAUCCAAGCGUUAUCCGGAAUCAUUGGGUUUAAAGGGUCCGUAGGCGGUCUUGUAAGUCAGUGGUGAAAGCCCAUCGCUCAACGGUGGAACGGCCAUUGAUACUGCAGGACUUGAAUUAUUGGGAAGUAACUAGAAUAUGUAGUGUAGCGGUGAAAUGCUUAGAGAUUACAUGGAAUACCAAUUGCGAAGGCAGGUUACUACCAAUUGAUUGACGCUGAUGGACGAAAGCGUGGGUAGCGAACAGGAUUAGAUACCCCCGUAGUCCCUGUCUCUAUACA